AAGAGAAAAAGGUCGAUUCGUUUUUCUUUUUCGGCCUUGGCAAAUUUCUUCCUGCGUCUCCUUCGUUUUCGAGUUUCAAAGCUGCUCAUAGAAAAUGCCUCAAGGAAAGCUUGAAGUUCUACUCGUUGGAGCCAAAGGCCUCGAGAACACUGAUUUUCUCUCUAACAUGGAUCCCUAUGUUGUCCUCAUUUGCCGGACUCAGGAACAGAAGAGCAGUGUUGCAUCAGGUCAAGGAACUGAACCAGAAUGGAACGAGAGUUUUGUGUUUACAUUAUCUGAUGGUGUUUCAGAAUUGAAACUUAAAAUAAUGGACAGUGACUUUGGUAGUGAGGAUGAUUUUGUGGGAGAAGUAACCAUUCCUCUGGAGCCACUGUUCAUGGAAGGAAGCCUCCCGCCAACUCCAUACAAUGUGGUCAAAGAGCAGGAAUACCGCGGAGAGAUGAGAGUUGGUCUGACAUUUACACCAGAGGGUAUCCGCAGCCGAGAUUUCGAAGAGCAAGAGGAGAGCUAUGGAGGAUGGAAAGAAUCUUCCUACUAAAACGACAUGUGUUUUUGGUUUUCAUGGACUCUUUCUAUAUUAACUUUGAAACUGUAAUGCAUGAACAAUGAAUGAUAGC